AAUGAUUUACUUUAUUUUACAUGUAAUAUUCAUUGUAUUGCAGUGUUCGUUCACUCAAGGUAGAAGCGGUAUCUUUAAUAAAAGAACAAAGUGUGCUUGGAACAGUGARGUUGAWAUUACUAAAUGUUUAAGGCAAUACAGAAAUGUUUAUGGCAUUGAUAACGCCACGUAUCCAUGUUAUUACGAUCCUAAUAAUAUAMAAAAUGUGAUUGCAGUGCGUCAGAUCUCAUCAAGUGAAGCAGUGCUAGCCGUCGCUAUACCAUCCUCCGUCCUUAUUAUCUGGUUGACUGCUCUAAUAAUACUAGCGUACGACAGAUACAGGCGAAGGUCAGUCAAAAAUACGUAUUUCUUG